GCAGCUGCGGUAAUACGGAGAGCGCAAGCAUUAAUCGGAAUUAUUGGGCGUAAAGGGCGCGUAGGCUGAAAGGUAAGUCAGAUGUGAAAUUCCGAAGCUCAACUUCGGAGCUGCAUUUGAAACUGCCAUUCUAGAGGGUUGACGGAGAAAACGGAAUUCCACGUGUAGCGGUGAAAUGCGUAGAUAUGUGGAAGAACACCAGUGGCGAAAGCGGUUUUCUAGUUAAUACCUGACGCUGAGGCGCGAGAGCAAGGGGAGCAAACAGGAUUAGAUACCCUGGUAGUCCUUGCCGUAAACGAUGUAUACUUGAUGUAGUUGGGCUCAACCCUGACUGUGUCGAAGCUAACGCGAUAAGUAUACCGCCUGGGGAGUACGCUCGCAAGGGUGAAACUCAAAAGAAUUGACGGGGGCCCGCACAAGCAGUGGAGCAUGUGGUUUAAUUCGAUGCAACGCGAAGAACCUUACCCAGGCUCGAAAUGUAAUAGACGUAACCAGAGAUGGUUAUUUCCGCAAGGACUGUUAUAUAGGUGCUGCAUGGCUGUCGUCAGCUCGUGCCGUGAGGUGUUUGGUUAAGUCCAGCAACGAGCGCAACCCUUAUCAUUAGUUGCCAACGCGUUAAGGCGGGGACUCUAGUGAGACUGCCUGGGUUAACCAGGAGGAAGGUGAGGAUGACGUCAAGUCCGCAUGGCCUUUAUGUCUGGGGCUACACACGUGCUACAAUGGUCGGUACAGAAGGCAGCAAGACCGCAAGGUGGAGCAAAUCCGUAAAGCCGAUCACAGUUCAGAUUGUAGUCUGCAACUCGACUACAUGAAGUUGGAAUUGCUAGUAAUGACGUGUCAGCAACAACGUCGUGAAUACGUUCCCGGGCCUUGUACACACCGCCCGUCACAUCAUGGGAGUUGGUUUUACCCGAAGUCGAUGACUUAAGCCGCAAGGCAGAGAGUCGCCUAAGGUAAGGCCGAUGACUGGGAUGAAGUCGUAACAAGGUAGCCCUAUCGGAAGGUGG
rnacentral:rRNA from 1 species